AGGGAAUAUUGGUCAAUGGGUGAGAGCCUGAACCAGCCAUGCCGCGUGCAGGAAGACGGCCUUCUGGGUUGUAAACUGCUUUUGCCCGGGGAUAAAAUUUCUUUGCGAAGAAAAUUGAAGGUACCUGGUGAAUAAGCCACGGCUAACUACGUGCCAGCAGCCGCGGUAAUACGUAGGUGGCAAGCGUUGUCCGGAUUUAUUGGGUUUAAAGGGUGCGUAGGCGGCCUAUUAAGUCAGUGCUGAAAUAUCCCGGCUUAACCGGGAGGGUGGCAUUGAUACUGAUGGGCUAGAGUACAGAUGAGGUAGGCGGAAUUGACGGUGUAGCGGUGAAAUGCUUAGAUAUCGUCAAGAACACCUAUAGCGAAGGCAGCUUACUAGGCUGUAACUGACGCUGAGGCACGAAAGUGUGGGGAUCAAA
rnacentral:rRNA from 1 species